UACGUAGGGCGCAAGCGUUAUCCGGAAUUAUUGGGCGUAAAGAGCUCGUAGGCGGUUUGUCGCGUCUGCCGUGAAAGUCCGGGGCUCAACUCCGGAUCUGCGGUGGGUACGGGCAGACUAGAGUGAUGUAGGGGAGACUGGAAUUCCUGGUGUAGCGGUGAAAUGCGCAGAUAUCAGGAGGAACACCGAUGGCGAAGGCAGGUCUUUGGGCAUUAACUGACGCUGAGGAGCGAAAGCAUGGGGAGCGAACAGG
rnacentral:rRNA from 1 species